GCUACCCCUAAGAGGGAUUUCAGGAGUGGCUGCUGUGUUGCAUGUGCCUCAGUAGGUGGCAGAGAGGACAGAGCCUAUGUCUACACUCAGUAUUCUGACCUGGAAACAUCUGAGUGUUAGAACCUUAAUAU